UGUCCCACAGGAUAUGGCAUUUACUGUCCAAGGCUCGCAUCCAGACCAGUUUCUACCCAAACCGCAGCUGCGGCAAUGCCAAAUACUUACCCACUUCCAUCUGGGACUGGAACCUGGGUUUCAGCUCUCCCAAGACGAAACCUAUCCCGUUUCUCCACAGUGAAAACGAAGAUAGAAUUUCUUGUCCUCAUCCUUGAAAAUAGAGGCUGACCUGGAGGAUUCAUACUUGGAGAGGAAAGAGAAAAUCUAAACAUUUGGGCUUAAAGCUGAUUAAUACAGUAGAGACACUUCAGUUUACUGGUUUUAUGGCCACAGGCAAAUUGUUUACCUUCAGGUAAGGAACUUGAUUUAUUUGAAUUGCAAAUUCAGGGACCACGUCUGAUUAUCUAUCUAUCUAUCUAUCUAUCUAUCUAUCUAUCUAUCUAUCUAUCUCUCCAUCCAUCUAUCUGGUAUAGUGGUAUAGUGGUGAGGUACUAUGCAGCUUCAUUUCAUUGGCUCAUUCAGUCAGUAGCAGAUCUGGCCGAAUCCGUGCAUGCCCUUGGGGUUGCAAGUUCUUUGUAGCACUCUUGAUCUUUAUUAUGUUAUUUGCCAAAUAGCUAUGUUAACAAUUCCUCCCUUGGGAACCGUCCAGGUGGCAAUGGAUUCUUGAUUUUAUUAAGGCGAAGGGGAUUAAGGACCACCAUGGAAUGGGAGAUGGGGUGUGUGUGAAUAUUUUGUCAUUUUAAAUAUGAUGGGUUGGGAAGACUUAACUGACAUGAGACAUGAAAGCCAGUGUCAUGCAGCCUGGAAGGGAGAAAGGACUUCACUCACCUGUGAGAAGAUUGCUCUCACUCCAGACAAGAAACAGUGAUGGUAUUACAUGGGGAUGAUAGCCACGUGUCUGAUAACCAACUGGAUAGACGCAGGUUCAUCUUCUCUUUUCUCAAGCUGGAGUAUCUAGAUAGCUUAGCAAUGAUUUUAUACAUUUUUCAUAAUUUUUAAAAGUACUGUUCAAGUUUUGUGAACACUCCCGAUACAGAUGGUAAACUGGGGCUGGGGUAGGAAUAGAUGAGUACCCCAUGGAAGACUGCCAGCCUGAUUCAAGGAUACUAGUCAUUAAGGAAAGAGUAUUAAUUACAUGAUAAUUUAUUUAAAAUAAAAAGUAAGGUAUUUCAAGGUUCCACAUAGUCACCAUCAUUGUUCUCCCUUUCAGAAGAAAGAGAAUCCAAAUGUAAUGUCUCUAAAAAGGCUUUAUAUACUGUAGCAAGCAAAUUUGCUGAGAUCAUAUUGGAUAAUUAUUGGAUGAGUCCCUAGAUAUAUAUAAAUCUGUCCAUCUGCUGGUUCAUUGUGAAUACCACUCUAUAUUAGAGGCUUCAUAAUAGUGAUGAUUUGAUGGCCAAACUCAUGAUUUAAAAGGAAAAUAAUUUAUUUUUUAUUUAUUUGUUUUUUGGCUGCAUUCAUGGCAUGUGAAAUUCCAAGGCCAAGGGUUGAACCCAGGCCACAGCAAUGACAGUGUCAGAUCCUUAGCUGCUAGGCCAAAAGGAAUUCCCAAACUCAUGAUUUUUUAAAAUAAAGCAACAUUAAAAUGAAAAUUAUUUAUUCAUGAUAAAGAUGUUACAUGUUCUCAACUGCUGAUCUUGAGCUAUAACUGACAAGGAAUAAGGGAUUUCAUCUCUUCUGAAUUUUCCUAUUGGAUGAGACUGCUGUCCAAACGCAGGGAUUUUCAUUAUGCUGUGAAAUUACUUUCAUUUUUCAUAAGUAAUGUUCAGUGAAAGAAAAGGAAACUGGUAUCCUUCAGGAUUUGCCCAGAUAACGAUGAACCUGUUGGGGAGGAAGGAAUUUUCCUCUAUUUUUUGCCAACUAAAGAAUGUUGCUGGCCACCUGGUUUUACAAGAUUUGAAUCAUUUAGUCACUGUGGUCAGCUGCCCUUCAACUCACCCUGAAAGGAACUCAGGGCAGAGAUCAGGAUUGAGGCCCUCUGUGCGCUGAGAAAAAUGGCACAACAGGUCUUCAGAUCCAGCAAGUGACUGAAUUUCCUUUGAGAAAAUAGAGGUUGGGGAGUUCUGUGGUGGCUCAGAGGGUAAAGGAUCCAGAGUUGUUACUGCUGGAUCAAAACCGUGGCAUGCCAUGCCAGCCAGAAAAAAAAAAAAAAAA
rnacentral:lncRNA from 1 species